rnacentral:pre_miRNA from 1 species
AAAGUACUCCCUCCGUCCCAAAAUCCUUGUCUUAGAUUUUUCUAGAUACAGAUGUAUCAAGUCACAUUUUAGUAUUAGAUACAUCCGUAUCUAGACAAUCUAAGACAAGAAAUUUGGGACAGAGGGAGUAGUUG